GACGAACGCUGGCGGCGUGCUUAACACAUGCAAGUGGAGCGACGAACCGGUCUUCGGACCGGGGCAGAGCCGCGAACGGGUGAGUAACACGUGGGUAACCCACCCCGAUGACCGGGACAACCCGAGGAAACUCGGGCUAAUACCGGAUGAGCUCUCAUCUCUUGAGAGAUGUGAGGAAAGAUAGCUUCGGCCUUCGCAUCGGGACGGGCCCGCGGCCCAUUAGCUUGUUGGUGGGGUAACGGCCACCAAGGCGACGAUGGGUAGCUGGUCUGAGAGGACGAUCAGCCACACUGGGACUGAGACACGGCCCAGACUCCUACGGGAGGGCAGCAGUGGGGAAUCUUGCACAAUGCGCGAAAGCGUGAUGCAGCAACGCCGC
rnacentral:rRNA from 1 species